rnacentral:rRNA from 1 species
UACGUAGGGCGCAAGCGUUGUCCGGAAUUAUUGGGCGUAAAGAGCUCGUAGGCGGUCUGUCGCGUCGGAUGUGAAAGCCCGGGGCUUAACCCCGGGUCUGCAUUCGAUACGGGCAGACUAGAGUGUGGUAGGGGAGAUCGGAAUUCCUGGUGUAGCGGUGAAAUGCGCAGAUAUCAGGAGGAACACCGGUGGCGAAGGCGGAUCUCUGGGCCAUUACUGACGCUGAGGAGCGAAAGCGUGGGGAGCAAACGGG